CCUACGGGAGGCUGCAGUGAGGAAUAUUGGUCAAUGGACGAGAGUCUGAACCAGCCAAGUAGCGUGAAGGAUGACUGCCCUAUGGGUUGUAAACUUCUUUUGUACGGGAGUAAAACCCGGCACGUGUGUCGUGUUGCAUGUACCGUACGAAUAAGGAUCGGCUAACUCCGUGCCAGCAGCCGCGGUAAUACGGAGGAUCCGAGCGUUAUCCGGAUUUAUUGGGUUUAAAGGGAGCGUAGACGGGUUGUUAAGUCAGUUGUGAAAGUUUGGGGCUCAACCCCGAAACUGCCGUUGAUACUGGCGGACUAGAGUAUAGUUGAGGUAGGCGGAAUGCGUGGUGUAGCGGUGAAAUGCUUAGAGAUCACGCAGAACCCCGAUUGCGAAGGCAGCUUACCAAACUAUAACUGACGUUGAGGCACGAAAGCGUGGGUAGCAAACAGGAUUAGAUACCCCGGUAGUC
rnacentral:rRNA from 1 species